GGGCCUACGGGGGGCAGCAGUGAGGAAUAUUGGUCAAUGGGCGCGAGCCUGAACCAGCCAAGUCGCGUGCAGGAAGAAUGUCCUAUGGAUUGUAAACUGCUUUUGCAGGGGAAUAAAGUGAGCCACGUGUGGUUUUUUGUAUGUACUCUGCGAAUAAGGAUCGGCUAACUCCGUGCCAGCAGCCGCGGUAAUACGGAGGAUCCGAGCGUUAUCCGGAUUUAUUGGGUUUAAAGGGUGCGUAGGCGGGAUAAUAAGUCAGUGGUGAAAGUUUGCAGCUUAACUGUAAAAUUGCCGUUGAAACUGUUAUUCUUGAGAGUAGAUAAGGUAGGCGGAAUGUGUUGUGUAGCGGUGAAAUGCAUAGAUAUAACACAGAACCCCGAUUGCGAAGGCAGCUUACCGGGCUACAUCUGACGCUGAUGCACGAAAGCGUGGGGAUCAAACAGGAUUAGAUACCCUGUAGUCC
rnacentral:rRNA from 1 species